AAAAAUUUUGAAUUAUCUUUUCGAGGGGCACCUUUAAAUUCUAACUAACUUAUUCUGUCUUUGCAGAUUUGAUAAAGAAAAUAAGAAGGGCGUAUUGAAUGGUUAUUUUUUUUGGUUAUCAUUUGGCUAUGCUUUUGGUUUGUUUCUCACAUAUCUUGUACUAUACUUUAUGAAUGGACAUGGCCAACCUGCACUACUCUACCUGGUUCCUUGCACCCUAGGCCUGAUAAUCAUCCUUGGCUGGAUAAGGGGAGAACUAAGGCUUCUGUGGAGCCAUGAAAAUCCCAAUUCAAGUGAUGCUUCAGCAGCAGAAGCCUGACAAGUAUGGCUUUUCAAUCUCAUAAAAAUGGUACAUUUCAAGGUCCAAUGAAAUAUUCAUGUAAAUAGACAACAGUGAAGGGGAUUGAUGAUAUUGCUUACUCUCUUUUUAGUUGUCAGAAGGCAAAUCUCUCUUUGCUCAGAAGUAACAAAGGAGCUGUUGUCUGUUACUGGAAAAUAUGAGAUUAAUAUGAGAUUCCUAUUUUAAGUUUUGGACUUUUUUUUGUAAAUAUUUUCUGUAGUUUCUUAUUUUCGUGAUGAUUAUUAUGUAAUAUUCCCUUAGAAUAUUGAUGUA